GGGCGAGGGGCUUGGUCACCCGGUCUGAAUUCCACUGUCAGGACAGCUGUGGAACCGCCAGAGAAAAGUCUGGCCAUGAAAGAAAGAAUAAAUUCCUGGAAAUGGAACUGGUGGAUGUCACAGGAAUUUGAGACAAAUCUUCAUUUUUUGGCUCCUUCCCCGGUUAUAAGAUGAGCAGUACAAUAGAGGAUGGACUGGAGUUGGAAAAGACUAAAGCAGCAAGUUUGAUAAGGAGGCUACAGCAAUAGUCCAGGUGAAAGACGCAAGAGCCCAAAAUGCGGCAGUGGCCAAGGGAAUGGAUCUGAGAUAAAGUUCAGAAGAUAGAGUUGGCAGGGCAGGUGAGUUUAUCUUUAAUCCAGGAGAAGAGAAGAAGGCCACAUGAAGAUGGAGCAAGAGAUUGGAGUGAUGUGGCCACAAGCCAAGGAAGCUGACGAAUGAAGACAGCUGUCAGAAGCUGGAAGAGGAAAAGGAUUCUCUCUUGGGGUCUCCAGAGGGAGAACAGCCCUGCCAACACUUCCAUUUCCAAUGUCUGGACUCUAGAACUGUGAGAAAAUAAAUUCCCAUUAUUUUAAGGAACACAGUUUGUGAUACUGCAUUACAGCAGCUCCAUGAAACAAAUACAUUUUGUUAUUCCAAGUCCUCUUCACAACAAAGUCUUUGCUAGUGGUGAACCAAACACAGUCCCACCAUCAUGAGCCCCUGUUCUGGAUGAGGGGGCAACACAGUUCAGACACUGGUCAUCUCUAUUUAAUGUCUAAUGGGCAUCUCAAACCUAACUUUCUCCCAGUGGAAAUGCCUGGAGGUAUGUGGAGAUGGAAAGCUGACCUAGCCAAGGAGUUCAGCAAAGAUCCCUGGGAGGAGGUGACAUCUGGACAUCUGCACAGAAUAAUGAGGCUGGGCUAAGGCAGUGACUGAGGGAGGCACUCUUUUUUGGUUUUGCUUUUCUUUUCUUUUGUGUAGGAAGGAAAGAAUAGCCAGGAGAGAUAGGGGAGAAAGAGGAUAAAGAUAGACAGGAAAGAGGUAACACAAGAAGUCAGGAUCUGCGCUUGAGGGGCAGAAGUCAAGUCGGGCUAAGGUGAGAAGGCAGAACAGGAUUCAGGGUCUUUGAAGAGAAACAAGUACAGAGCUGGAACUAAGUGAUGAUGACUCCAGACUAAAACCCUCUGGGUUUGAAUCCUGCCUCUGCCACUUACUUAUUCAUUACAAAAUAGCGAGAAAUUACAUUAUCUGGAUCUUGGUCUCCUCAACUAUAAAAUAAAAAUAAUAAUAGCUCCUAUCUCAUAGGAUGCUAUUAGGAGUACUAAGUAUAUUAACACCUGUAAAGCACUUGGCUCAAUGUCUGGCACUGCAUAUGCAAUAAAUGUCAUUAUUACUAUUAACAUUAUUAGAAGAAGCAGCAAAUUUAAAAUCAGAAUGUGAGCACUGGAAAGGACUUCAGAAUCAACUAAUCUAAUUCCCCCAUUGUACAAAUGAACAGACUGAGGCCCAGAGAGGUUUGAAAUUGGCCAAAUUUAAGGAGAUAGGAACAGAGCCGAGAUGACAAAAUUGCUUGAAAGUCUAUGCUUUUUCUAGGUGAACUAUACAUAUAUAUUUGGGAAUCAUAAGAAUAUAAGCAGCGAUUGAAUCUGAGGAGAUAGAGUUACUCAGGAAGAACACAAGAAUUACUACAGAAAGCUGAAAGAAGAAUGAAAAUAGAUUUGAAGUCAACUUGAUUCAAAUAUCCCAAUGUAAUGGUAUUAGGAAGUGGUGCCUUUUUGAGGUAAUUGGGUCAUGAGGGUGGAGUCCUCAUGAGUGGGAUUAGGGCCCUUAUAAGGGGCUGAAGAGACCAGAGUUUUCCCUUCCACCAACUGAAGACUCAUAUAGAAGGUACUAUUUAUGAGCCAGAGGGUAGGUCCUCAGCAGACACCAAAUCUGCUGCAACCUUGAUCUUGGACUUCCCAGUCUCCAGAAAUGUGAGAAACAAAUUUCUAUUGUUUAAAAGCCACCCAAUUUAUAGUAUUUUGUUAUAGCAGACUGAAUGGGCUAAGACACCAUUAAACUUUGAAACUUGGUUUUUCCACAUGUAAAAUCAGGAUACACAUAGAAAACCUGCUGAUGCCUUUAAAAAAUUUUAAACCCAUAUGUUCUAAAGUUGGUAACAGAGGAAGACUUUCCACAAGAUGGAGGAAAGUCUUUUACUCCAGAUCUUAAAACUAACCUUAUUCUUGAGGUAUAAGGUUACUCACACUAAUGUCUGCUGGAGCCACAAUCAGCAAACUGGCUUUAGGGGUACAAAGCAUGGAUUUUACAGUUUCUCUCAUUGCCAUAGUAUGGUUGAGACAGCUUAUAAUAUUUAUGCAAGAUACUACUAAAGAUGGACCCCUCAUGUUGGAGCUGGACAUAGGACUUUUCUCUUCUUUCUAGAUUUCUUCCAUAGAUACAUUCAUUUAAUCCCAUAGCUUUAAAAUACCACCUCAAAGCCAAAGACUCAUAUUUAUACCUCUAGCUCUGACCUACUCCUGAGCUCCAGACUUAUAUGUCCAAUUGCUUGCUCUAGAUUAUUACUUAGAUAUCUAAUGGUCAUUCAAAUAUAACAUUUCCAAAAUGGGAUGCUUGACUUCCUGCUCCCAAACCAGUUCUUCCUGCAACAUUCUCAAUCUUGGUAAACUUAUAUCCAAUUGAUAUAGUUUGGAUAUCUGUACCCGCCCAAAUCUCAGGUUGAAUUGUAAUCCCCAGUGCUGGAAGUGGGGGCCGGUGGGAGGUGAUUGGAUCACGGGAUGGAUCUCUCAUGGCUUGGUGCUGUCUUCAUGAUAGUGAGUAAGUUCUCACGAGAUCUGGUCAUUUAAAGGUUGUGUGGACCCCCCUCACCCUCCCACUCUCUUGCUCCUGCUUUUGCCACUUGAGGUGCCUGCUCCCCUUUAGCCUUCCACCAUGAUAGGAAGCUUCCUGGGGCCUCCCUAGAAGCCAAGCAGAUGCCAGCACCAUGCUUCCUGUAAAGCCUAUAGAACUGUGAGCCAAUUAAACUUUUUCUUAUAAAUUAUCCAGUUUCAGGUAUUUCUUUAUAGCAAUGUAAGAACAGCCUAAGAAAUCAAUCCAUCAGCAAACUCUCUUAGUUCUACCUCUGGAACAUUUUGCGAAUCUCAAUCUUUCUCCACAUCUGAUGCCUUAAUAUUCCAAGCCACUGCCAUCUCUUACCUCCCCUUCUGUGGUAGUUUCUCAGCUGGAUUUUCUAUUCCUACUUUAAUAUCCCCUACAAUCUACUCUCCACACAGCAGCCAGAUGGUCUGUUUACUACAUAAAUUAUGUGUCACUCUCUUGGUUAUAAACGUCUAAUGGCUUCCUAUCACACUUAGAUUGAAACUCUAACCCCAUUAGGCCCUGCAAGACCCAGAUCCUGCUUACUGUCUGACCUCACCCCACACUUUCCUUGCUCAUCAUGCUCCAGAUUCGAGGCUGGAUUGCUUUCUGUUCCUCAAACACACCAAGCUUAUUUCUUUUUCUAUCUAUCUAUCUAUCUAUCUAUCUAUCUAUCUAUCUAUCUAUCUAAUCUAUCUAUCUUUAUCAAAAGAAUCAGAGGUGAAACCAUGCUCAUUUCUGAUGUAACCUCAGCAGUUCCCUCUGUCUGGAAGGCUCAUUCCAUCCUGUGCCCUCCUCCCCAUCUUCACUUGGCUGCAUUCUUCUCAUCGUUGUGGUCUCUGCUUAUUUUUAUGUUCUAACAAAGGCCUUCCUUGCCUGUCCUUGCUAGAAUAGCUCUCUAGUCAGCCUCUAUCAUAUCAGCUGGCUUUUGCAUCUGAGCAUUUUUUGCUACUGAUAUUUCCUUGUUUAUUUUCUGUCUAUUGUCUGUUUCUUUCUCACUAGAAUGUAAACUUUCUGAGAGCAGUGAUUUUAUCUGUUUGGUUUACCACUGUGUUCCCAGCCUCAGAAAAGUGCAUACACCUGGUGGACCCUCAAUUAAUAUUUGAUGAAUAAAUAAAUAAAGGUUCAAAUAAGAGAAGGGAAGUAAAUGCAGGAAGCACCAUAUCAUUAGAUUGUCUGGCACAUAAAUUAGAAUCCCCAACUUCAGCUUGUAGUUCAGCAUGAAAAUGCAUUUCCCUUGCUAUGUCAGAAUGUCUAGACUUGUGGAAAUCCAAACCUGAACAAAGGACAGUGAGGACAGAGGGUUGGAAAGCCCCCUGGUUUUCUCUCCUGCAUUUCUACAUUCUACCUUUGCUAUGGUUUCACCUGGAGUGUUAGUCCAUUUUGCAUUGUUAUAAAGGAAUACCUGAGACUGGGUAAUUUAUAAAGAAAAGAGGUUUAUUAGGCUCAUGGUUCUGCAGGCUGUACAAGACACAUGGUGCCAGCAUCUGCUCAGCUUCUGGUGAGGCCUCAGGAGCCUUUACUCAUGGCAGAAGGCAAAGGGAGCCAGUGUGUCACAUGGUGAGAAAGGAAGCAAGAGAGAGGGAAGGUGAUGCCAGGCUCUUUUUAACAGUCAGUUCUGGUGUGAACCAAUAGAGCAAGAACUUUCUCAUUACCAUGAGAAAGGCACCAAGCCAUUCAUCAGGAAUCUACCCCUAUGACACAUACACCUCCCAGAGGCCCCACCUCCAACACUGGGGAUCGAAUUUCAACAUUAGACUUCGAGGGGAUAAACAUCCAAACUAUAUCACCUGGGGAUCUACCCACUGACCUGGAUGAUUAACACUGGGCAGUUCCACCUUCCUGAGUGGUGAUAUCACUCCACAUCCACAGUAGAGGUUUGGAUGGAAGGCAAAGAAUAAGCUCAUCAGAACAUCCUACAAGAAAUACAGACUUAUUAAUAGCAAGGAGAGCUGCUUUCUGCAAGAUAAUUGAGUUAGUUUGUUCAGGCUGUUUUAACAUAAUACCAUAGACUUGGUGGCUUAAACAACAAACAUUUAUCCCUCAUAGUUCUGGAGGCUGAGAAGUACAAGAUCGAGAUGUUGGCAGAUUUGGUGUCUAGGGAAGGCCCACUUCUUGGCUCAUAGACAGCUGUCUUGUCACUGUGCCCUCACAUGGCAGAAAGGGCUGGGGGAACUCUGUGGGUUCUCUUUUAUAAGGGUACAAAGCCUAUUCAUAAGGGCUCCACCUUCAUAAGCUAAUUACUUCCCAAUGGCCCCAUCUCCUGAUACCAUCACAUUGGGGGUUAGGAUGUACAACAUGUGAAUUUAGAGGAUCACAAACAUUUCAUCCAUAACAGUAAUGAUCUCUGUUCUACACACUUCCCAUACUUGUUCUGAUGAUCUGAUAAAGAAGUGUGGUCUGGAACAUGACCCACAUGUGUAAAUCACUACAUUAUUACACUAUUUGCUCCUCAUCACUAUGUGUUUAUGAGAAGCAGAGCAAAUACUCCUGGCAGAAUGCCAUCAGUGUUCCUCAUACCACAGUACUAAGGACUUAGACAAUUUUUGUUGUCCUCUCCAUCCUAGAUAACUCUGUAUCCCUGUAUAAGACUCAUUCAACACUUGGUCUCACCAUUCUAUGGUAUCGUCAUCUUCAAUAUGCCUCUCCCCUCCACCAUGCUUCAUUCAUGUGGUCACACUCUGAACCUUGUCAUCACUCCCAAACUAUUCCACUUUAGAAACCUCAAGCCUCAAGACCUGGGAAUAACUGAUAUUCUGCUCACAAUGUCCUAACCCUCUAGCUCUCAUAUUCACUUACUCCCCUUAUGCCUGCUUUUCAACCCCACCAAGACCUCCUCAAACCUUUUCUCCCUAUCUCUUAGGCCCCUUCGGAGCUGACUUCCUUCACUAUUCAUCCAUACCACUUCCUUCUUCCAAAAUCUUAAUUUUCAUGCCCCCACCUGCCAACCCUCAACCCUGGAACAGUCUAGCGCCUGCCUUUCCUGUUUCUAAACACCCAGGGUACUGUGCCCUCAUGGAGAAAAUAACAGAGUGGUUUGAUCUGGUGACACCAUAAACUUUCAAAAUAAGUUGGUUCCUUUGGCCAAAUGGCAAUCCUAUAUGCUUCUCCCAAUUGCCCUGAUGCAUGAACUUUAUUCAUGCUUCUUUCUCUCUCGUACAUAUUCAUACUCAGUGAAUGGCAUCCUUUUCUAUACCAUGAGGAAAAUGGAGGUCUUCAUGCAUAAAACCUCUCAGCUUUCUGCUCCCCAUGUGCAAAUAAAGUGAAUGUAUAUCUACAGCUAUGGCCAAGAUGAACUGCUGUUAACCAGAAUCUAUUCCUCCCUUCGUCCUGGACACACAGCUCCGCUACAUUUCUCAACCUCCCUUGCAGUUAGAUGUAUCAUGUGAUGAAAUUUUUUGCCACUGGAAUUUGAGCAUUAGUAUUGUCUACCACUUCCAUGCCUGGUCUAUAAAAGUGUUUCACGUGCACAUCACCGUGAUCUUUCCCCUUCUGGCAAGCUGUUUGAUGAUAUGAAAACCAUGUGUUAAAGAUGGCAGAGCUGCCAUCAGCUUUGUUCCUUAAAUAACUGCAUGGGAAGUAGCUGCCUGCCUGUCUUUAAAAACUGCCCUAAAAAUGAUGUAAGUGAGAAAUAAACUUUAUUUUUGAGUCAUUA